CAGGAUUGAACGUUGGAAUGUUUGUCAUGUAAAUGAGCUCUGUAAUGAAUAUAUCCACAAAUGAAGGCAACUACCUGUUUCAAGGUUAAAACAAAUGCUUGGAGUUUAUUCAGAGAAAAUUGAAACAUAAUGAAAAGUUACAUACUCCUUGAUCUCAUAUUAUCUGUGGUUUAAGGAUAUACAUACCUCUUAAAAAUAACAAAUCACUAAAUAUAACAACUCCCAUGAUAAACUAUUGACUAAAAAAAUACAGUUAUAUUUGUUUAUGAUUUUAUCAUUGUAUUUAUUACAGGUUACAGAAAAAUAGAUAAUAUAAUUAGAGGUAUGUUGGUAAAAAAUAAUUAAUGGACUUGAAAAUUUGAAAGAAUUUUUAUAAAAAGGGUCAAGGAAAAAUCUCAAGAGAUCCUAUAUUUAGGGGAAGUGUUAGUAAUAUAGAGCUAGAACUUGAGAUACAAUCAUAAAAAUAAAUAAAGGUACUAUUGAUGAAAAAGUAAUUAAUCAUAAAAAUAAUAUUCUAGUAACAAAUAAUGGACAGUUAACAUGAGAUGAGGAGAGUAUUAGAAAUCAGUAACUGGUCACAAAUAGCAACAUUUGUUUGGUAUUUAAAACUAGUCAGAAGUAGGUUCAAGUCUAUAACAACUUACAACAUUAACUAGGGAGGUCAGAUUCCACAAAGCAUAUAGACGAGCAAGGCCAGCUGAUCUCCUAGGUCCUUGACUAAACAAAGCACUGAUUCCAGAUGGAAAUGGAAAUAGCACGCCGAGAGGGAGGACAAAUAAAACUAAGAAGAAGUUCACCAGCGACAGCGAGUACAUCUGAAGUAAGGUAAGCAACACUAAUAUAAAAUCCCCCAGGAGCAAAAUAGAGAUAACCAGACCGACUAGAUCCUGCAGUGAUACGAAAGAGCGUUGGUAAAAACGAUAAGUGUUUGUCAUGUAAAUGAGCUCUGUAAUGAAUAUAUCCACAAAUGAAGGCAACUACCUGUUUCAAGGUUAAAACAAAUGCUUGGAGUUUAUUCAGAGAAAAUUGAAACAUAAUGAAAAGUUACAUACUCCUUGAUCUCAUAUUAUCUGUGGUUUAAGGAUAUACAUACCUCUUAAAAAUAACAAAUCACUAAAUAUAACAACUCCCAUGAUAAACUAUUGACUAAAAAAAUACAGUUAUAUUUGUUUAUGAUUUUAUCAUUGUAUUUAUUACAGGUUACAGAAAAAUAGAUAAUAUAAUUAGAGGUAUGUUGGUAAAAAAUAAUUAAUGGACUUGAAAAUUUGAAAGAAUUUUUAUAAAAAGGGUCAAGGAAAAAUCUCAAGAGAUCCUAUAUUUAGGGGAAGUGUUAGUAAUAUAGAGCUAGAACUUGAGAUACAAUCAUAAAAAUAAAUAAAGGUACUAUUGAUGAAAAAGUAAUUAAUCAUAAAAAUAAUAUUCUAGUAACAAAUAAUGGACAGUUAACAUGAGAUGAGGAGAGUAUUAGAAAUCAGUAACUGGUCACAAAUAGCAACAUUUGUUUGGUAUUUAAAACUAGUCAGAAGUAGGUUCAAGUCUAUAACAACUUACAACAUUAACUAGGGAGGUCAGAUUCCACAAAGCAUAUAGACGAGCAAGGCCAGCUGAUCUCCUAGGUCCUUGACUAAACAAAGCACUGAUUCCAGAUGGAAAUGGAAAUAGCACGCCGAGAGGGAGGACAAAUAAAACUAAGAAGAAGUUCACCAGCGACAGCGAGUACAUCUGAAGUAAGGUAAGCAACACUAAUAUAAAAUCCCCCAGGAGCAAAAUAGAGAUAACCAGACCGACUAGAUCCUGCAGUGAUACGAAAGAGCGUUGGUAAAAACGAUAAGAGGAGAUGCAGCAGAUUUUAUAAAAACUGGGACAUGGUGAAGUUAACAAUGGAAAACAUUGUAAUA
rnacentral:lncRNA from 1 species